rnacentral:lncRNA from 1 species
AUCACUUUAAUAUUUAACACCGGAAUAUACCUUAUAAAAGAUGGGGUAAUUAGCACUGGUAUAACUUAUACCUUCUUCUUAUAAAUUACACAAUUAUCAUUAUUAAUACAACAUACCAAACAGUAAAUAAACAACAAUCUCAGCAUAACUACUCUAAGCAUAAUUUACUCCAACAUAACUUAUACCGGUAUAUAAGCCCUAUUCCAACCAAACGACCCCUUAUUGCUCAAGUUGCAAGAUUAAAGGAAUGUAAUGCCCGAAAUAUUUGCUCAGCGUCUCAAAUCUGGACAACAGAAAGCUGCUCCUCUGGCACUCUCUGAUCUACAAAUUUUUUUUCUGAAAUCAAAUGAUGAGAAAGUUAAAAGAGUAGCUAGCUACAAAAUAGAACAAAUAUAGAAAAAAUGCAUGUCGCAUAACAAAUAAUCUUUACAUAUAUACUUCAGAACCCAGAAAUAGCAAAACAAGAUCUAGAGGAGACUAAAAUAUAGGAAGAAAUACUGGAUAUAAUCAGCUGUUAAAGAUUUUAAAAACAUAGGUAACACUGGAUUAAACAGAAAGCAGACUAUAUAACAAAUAUCUAAGAAACUACAGCAGACAAGAGUAAUUAAAGGGAUAAUAUUAUAGGGAAAAUAAGAUGAAGAGAGAUGAAUGUAGAGCUCCCUUCAAUCCAAAAAAGGAUCCAACUUAGAAUAAUGAAGCUCCUGACAUAUGCAAGCCACAAACCUAUCCAACAAUAUUAUUAUUAUUGAUAGGGCUGAGGGAUCCAUAGGUCAGCAGCUUAAUUUUUACCAGUUAGAUCCUCUGUUGAACUUGAAGGAACUCCACUCUCAAAACCCUAAUCUUUCUUACAUCAUCCAAACAUAAAAAGGACAAAAAAGUCAAUGCACGCUCUUACAAUAACCACAACCCUAAUCCUGUCCAAAAACUACCCACCAACUUUAUUCAACUCCUAUCACCUACCAUUCCCAGACCAAACCUCCAUAGCAACAACGAAGAUCGUGAGAAAAAAAAAAUACUUCAAGAAAAUAACAUAUGCAACAAUAAAUAAAUCAAGUAAAAGCUGAUAAUAAAAAGAAAAGCCCUAGGAUAUACAACAAAACCGGCCGCUCGUUAGACCAAACAGGAAGAAGUGAGUAUAUGCCACAACGUUUAGAUAACAAAA